CGAGACGUAGCGUAGUGGUCAUAGUGUGUGUGUGUUGAUGUGAGGUCUUGGGUUCGAGUCCCGCGCGUGUCGC
rnacentral:tRNA from 1 species